AAGGUUAAGCCUCACGGUUCAUUAGUACCGGUUAGCUCAACGCAUCGCUGCGCUUACACACCCGGCCUAUCAACGUCGUCGUCUUCAACGUUCCUUCAGGACCCUUAAAGGGUCAGGGAGAACUCAUCUCGGGGCAAGUUUCGUGCUUAGAUGCUUUCAGCACUUAUCUCUUCCGCAUUUAGCUACCGGGCAGUGCCAUUGGCAUGACAACCCGAACACCAGUGAUGCGUCCACUCCGGUCCUCUCGUACUAGGAGCAGCCCCCCUCAGUUCUCCAGCGCCCACGGCAGAUAGGGACCGAACUGUCUCACGACGUUCUAAACCCAGCUCGCGUACCACUUUAAAUGGCGAACAGCCAUACCCUUGGGACCUACUUCAGCCCCAGGAUGUGAUGAGCCGACAUCGAGGUGCCAAACACCGCCGUCGAUAUGAACUCUUGGGCGGUAUCAGCCUGUUAUCCCCGGAGUACCUUUUAUCCGUUGAGCGAUGGCCCUUCCAUUCAGAACCACCGGAUCACUAUGACCUGCUUUCGCACCUGCUCGCGCCGUCACGCUCGCAGUCAAGCUGGCUUAUGCCAUUGCACUAACCUCCUGAUGUCCGACCAGGAUUAGCCAACCUUCGUGCUCCUCCGUUACUCUUUAGGAGGAGACCGCCCCAGUCAAACUACCCACCAGACACUGUCCGCAACCCGGAUUACGGGCCAACGUUAGAACAUCAAACAUUAAAGGGUGGUAUUUCAAGGUCGGCUCCAUGCAGACUGGCGUCCACACUUCAAAGCCUCCCACCUAUCCUACACAUCAAGGCUCAAUGUUCAGUGUCAAGCUAUAGUAAAGGUUCACGGGGUCUUUCCGUCUUGCCGCGGGUACACUGCAUCUUCACAGCGAGUUCAAUUUCACUGAGUCUCGGGUGGAGACAGCCUGGCCAUCAUUACGCCAUUCGUGCAGGUCGGAACUUACCCGACAAGGAAUUUCGCUACCUUAGGACCGUUAUAGUUACGGCCGCCGUUUACCGGGGCUUCGAUCAAGAGCUUCGCGUUGCCGCUAACCCCAUCAAUUAACCUUCCGGCACCGGGCAGGCGUCACACCGUAUACGUCCACUUUCGUGUUUGCACAGUGCUGUGUUUUUAAUAAACAGUUGCAGCCAGCUGGUAUCUUCGACUGAUUUCAGCUCCACGAGCAAGUCGCUUCACCUACAUAUCAGCGUGCCUUCUCCCGAAGUUACGGCACCAUUUUGCCUAGUUCCUUCACCCGAGUUCUCUCAAGCGCCUUGGUAUUCUCUACCUGACCACCUGUGUCGGUUUGGGGUACGAUUUGAUGUUACCUGAUGCUUAGAGGCUUUUCCUGGAAGCAGGGCAUUUGUCACUUCAGCACCGUAGUGCCUCGUCAUCACGCCUCAGCCUUGGUUUUCCGGAUUUGCCUGGAAAACCAGCCUACACGCUUAAACCGGGACAACCGUCGCCCGGCCAACAUAGCCUUCUCCGUCCCCCCUUCGCAGUAACACCAAGUACAGGAAUAUUAACCUGUUUCCCAUCGACUACGCCUUUCGGCCUCGCCUUAGGGGUCGACUCACCCUGCCCCGAUUAACGUUGGACAGGAACCCUUGGUCUUCCGGCGAGCGGGCUUUUCACCCGCUUUAUCGUUACUUAUGUCAGCAUUCGCACUUCUGAUACCUCCAGCAACCCUCACAGGCCACCUUCACAGGCUUACAGAACGCUCCCCUACCCAACAACACAUAGUGUCGCUGCCGCAGCUUCGGUGCAUGGUUUAGCCCCGUUACAUCUUCCGCGCAGGCCGACUCGACCAGUGAGCUAUUACGCUUUCUUUAAAUGAUGGCUGCUUCUAAGCCAACAUCCUGGCUGUCUGGGCCUUCCCACAUCGUUUCCCACUUAACCAUGACUUUGGGACCUUAGCUGGCGGUCUGGGUUGUUUCCCUCUUCACGACGGACGUUAGCACCCGCCGUGUGUCUCCCGUGAUAACAUUCUCCGGUAUUCGCAGUUUUGCAUCGGGUUGGUAAGUCGGGAUGACCCCCUUGCCGAAACAGUGCUCUACCCCCGGAGAUGAAUUCACGAGGCGCUACCUAAAUAGCUUUCGGGGAGAACCAGCUAUCUCCCGGUUUGAUUGGCCUUUCACCCCCAGCCACAAGUCAUCCGCUAAUUUUUCAACAUUAGUCGGUUCGGUCCUCCAGUUAGUGUUACCCAACCUUCAACCUGCCCAUGGCUAGAUCACCGGGUUUCGGGUCUAUACCCUGCAACUUAACGCCCAGUUAAGACUCGGUUUCCCUUCGGCUCCCCUAUUCGGUUAACCUUGCUACAGAAUAUAAGUCGCUGACCCAUUAUACAAAAGGUACGCAGUCACCCCAUUAAGAGGCUCCCACUGCUUGUACGUACACGGUUUCAGGUUCUUUUUCACUCCCCUCGCCGGGGUUCUUUUCGCCUUUCCCUCACGGUACUGGUUCACUAUCGGUCAGUCAGGAGUAUUUAGCCUUGGAGGAUGGUCCCCCCAUAUUCAGACAGGAUACCACGUGUCCCGCCCUACUCAUCGAGCUCACAAUAUGUGCAUUUUUGUGUACGGGGCUGUCACCCUGUAUCGCACGCCUUUCCAGACGCUUCCACUAACACACACACUGAUUCAGGCUCUGGGCUCCUCCCCGUUCGCUCGCUGCUACUGGGGGAAUCUCGGUUGAUUUCUUUUCCUCGGGGUACUUAGAUGUUUCAGUUCCCCCGGUUCGCCUCAUUAACCUAUGGAUUCAGUUAAUGAUAGUGUGACGAAUCACACUGGGUUUCCCCAUUCGGAAAUCGCCGGUUAUAACGGUUCAUAUCACCUCACCGACGCUUAUCGCAGAUUAGCACGUCCUUCAUCGCCUCUGACUGCCAGGGCAUCCACCGUGUACGCUUAGUCGCUUAA
rnacentral:rRNA from 1 species